ACGGAGGCAGCGCUGGCAGCUGAGAAAACUCGGGUAUAUGAAGACUGAGCGCUGAACCCAUAAGACUCGCCGUAUUGCAGGUAGGGCAGGUGGCACUACCCCAAAAGGAAUUUCAUAACCUUAUCCUUUUGGGCCAAGUUAGCGACAGGACGAGCAUGUCGCCAAAUCGCUGGAUACUCUUGCUCAUCUUCUACAUAUCGUAUCUGCUGUUUGGCGCUGCCAUCUACUAUCACAUCGAGCAUGGCGAGGAGAA